rnacentral:rRNA from 1 species
UACAGAGGGGGGCAAGCGUUAUUCGGAAUUAUUGGGCGUAAAGGGCGCGUAGGCGGCCUGGCAAGUGGAAGGUGAAAUCCCUCGGCUUAACCGAGGAACUGCCCUCCAAACUGCUUGGCUUGAGUCCGGGAGAGGUGAGUGGAAUUCCCAGUGUAGCGGUGAAAUGCGUAGAUAUUGGGAGGAACACCAGUGGCGAAGGCGGCUCACUGGACCGGAACUGACGCUGAGGCGCGAAAGCGUGGGAGCAAACGGG